rnacentral:precursor_RNA from 14 species
UUGGGAAUGGUACAUUAUCCCGUUUACAGAACAUACUUCCUUAUCACUCCAUACCUGCUUUGGAAUCUGUAUGGAAUGUAAUGAAGUAUGUAUUGUUAGUCGGGAAGGAGUCUUCCUUGCUUC